AUAUGAUUAAGAUACAAAGGGCGUAAGGUGGAUGCCUAGGCAGUCAGAGGUGAUGAAGGACGUGGACAGCUGCGAUAAGCUUCGGGGAGUCGCUAGCAGGCAUUAAUCCGAAGAUUUCCGAAUGGGGAAACCUGUAGAAACUUGAUUUCUACAAUACAUUAUAAAUUCAUAGUAAUGUAUGACUAACUCAGGGAACUGAAACAUCUAAGUACCUGGAGGAAAAGAAAGAAAGCUCGAUUCCCUUAGUAGUGGCGAGCGAAGAGGGAAAAGCCUAAACUUUAAGAUGAAUAAUCUUGAAGGGUCAUGGGGCUUACAAAAUCAAUAAGUUUUGAUAGAUGAAUGGUAUGGAAAGGCCAGCCGUAGACGGUGACAGCCCGGUAAUCAAAAUUAAAAUAAGUUGUAGUAAGUACCCGAGUACCGCAGGACACGUGAAAUCCGGCGGGAAUUUGCGGGGACCAUCCCGUAAGGCUAAAUACUACUGAUUGACCGAUAGUGAACAAGUACCGCGAGGGAAAGGUGAAAAGAACCCCGGUUAGGGGAGUGAAAUAGUACCUGAAACCGUACGCCUACAAGCCGUGGAAGUAUUAUCCCCGUGAGGGGAUAGUGUGACCGCGUACCUUUUGCAUAAUGGGCCUGCGAGUUACAUUUUGUGGCAAGGUUAAGCCAAAGGAGGUGAAGCCGUAGCGAAAGCGAGUCCUAACAGGGCGAAAAGUCGCAGGAUGUAGACCCGAAACCUUAGCGAUCUAUCCUUGGCCAGGUUGAAGAGUUGGGUAACACCGCUUGGAGGACCGAACGCACCGCAGUUGAAAAUGCGGGCGAUGAGCUGAGGAUAGGAGUGAAAGGCUAAUCAAGCUGGGAGAUAGCUGGUUCUCCUCGAAAUAUAUUGAGGUAUAGCCUUGGACAAAUACCGCUGGAGGUAGAGCACUGAAUGGGCUAGGGGUCCUACCAGACUACCAAACCCAAUCAAACUUCGAAUGCCAGUGAGUAAUAUCCAGGAGUCAGACAGCGCGAGAUAAGUUGCGUUGUCGAGAGGGAAAGAGCCCAGAUCGUCAGCUAAGGUCCCUAAGUCCGAUCUAAGUGUUAAAGGAUGUGGAAGUGCAUUGACAACCAGGAAGUUGGCCUACAAGCAGCCAUCUUUUAAAGAAAGCGUAAUAGCUCACUGGUCAAGCGCAUCUGCGCCGAAAAUAUAACGGGGCUAAAGAUCGGCACCGAAGCUACGGGCUUAGAAAUAAGCGGUAGAGGAGUAUUCUCAAGUAGAUACAAGCUAGAUCGCGAGGUCUAGUGUCGGAUUUGAGAAGAGCUUAUGCAGGCAUGAGUAGCGAUAAACCAGAUGAGAAAUCUGGUCGCCGUAAGCCCAAGGUUUCCUGGGGUAGGAUAAUCCGCCCAGGGUUAGUCGAUGCCUAAGCCGAGGCCGUAAGGCGUAGGUGAUGGAAAACAGGUUAAUAUUCCUGUACUAUCGAGGAAGACGAUGAAAUAAGCGGGGACAAAGAAGGAUAGGCCAAGCAUGGUGCAUGGAUCCAUGUUCAAGCCCGUAGGCUGUUUUGCUAGGACUCGAGAGAGACAAACGGCGAAACAAUAAGCUGAGAGGUGAUGAGGUUGAGCUUCGGCUCAAUAACUUGGUGAUUCCAAGCUUUCAAGAAAAGCCGCGUGUGGAGUCUCUUUGAUAAUCGUACUGUAAACCGACUCAGGUGGGCAGGAUGAGUAUUCUAAGGCGCGUGAGAGAACCCUGGUUAAGGAACUCGGCAAAUUGACACCGUAACUUCGGGAGAAGGUGUGCCUUUUUAUGUGAUGCAGCUUGCCUGCUAAGCGUGAGAAGGUUGCAGAGAAAUGGGAGUUGUGACUGUUUACUAAAAACACAGCACUCUGCAAAGUCGCAAGACGACGUAUAGGGUGUGAUGCCUGCCCGGUGCUGGAAGGUUAAGGGGAUGUGUCAGCGAAAGCAAAGCACUGAACUGAAGCCCCAGUAAACGGCGGCCGUAACUAUAACGGUCCUAAGGUAGCGAAAUUCCUUGUCGGGUAAGUUCCGACCUGCACGAAUGGCAUAACAACAUCUCCGCUGUCUCGACCAGGGACUCAGCGAAAUUGUAUUGGGGGUGAAGAUACCCUCUACCCGCGGCAAGACGGAAAGACCCCAUGAACCUUUACUGUAACUUGGCAGUGAAUUUCGCAUCAUUUUGCGUAGAAUAAGUGGGAGGCUAUGAGGACGAGCUUCUGGGCUUGUCGGAGCCAUCGUUGAAAUACCACUCUGAAUGAUCUGAGAUUCUAACCAACCUCCAUUACCUGGAGGUGGGACACUGCCUGGUAGGCAGUUUGACUGGGGCGGUCGCCUCCUAAAAAGUAACGGAGGCGCGCGAAGGUUCCCUCAGCCUGAUUGGAAACCAGGCGAAGAGUGUAAACGUAUAAGGGAGCUUAACUGCGAGACCGACAGGUCGAGCAGAUGCGAAAGCAGGCGUUAGUGAUCCGGUGGUCCCGCAUGGAAGGGCCAUCGCUCAUCGGAUAAAAGGUACUCUGGGGAUAACAGGCUGAUCGCGCCUGAGAGUUCAUAUCGGCGGCGCGGUUUGGCACCUCGAUGUCGGCUCAUCGCAUCCUGGGGCUGGAGCAGGUCCCAAGGGUUCGGCUGUUCGCCGAUUAAAGCGGUACGCGAGCUGGGUUUAAAACGUCGUGAGACAGUUUGGUCCCUAUCUGCCGUGGGCGUAGGAUACUUGAGAGGAGCUAACCAUAGUACGAGAGGACCUGGUUGGACGUACCUCUAGUGAGUCGGUUGUCACGCCAGUGGCACUGCCGGGUAGCUAUGUACGGAACGGAUAACCGCUGAAAGCAUCUAAGCGGGAAGCCGGCCUCAAGACAAGGUAUCCCGGUCGAAAGACCCUAAAGACCCCUUGAAGACUACAAGGUUGAUAGGCUAGGUGUGGACGUGGAGUAAUCUACGGAGCUAACUAGUACUAAUAGGUCGUGAGGCUUGAUCGUAU
rnacentral:rRNA from 1 species